GGGUCAGUAGGUUGGUCGUGCCACCGGUACGUACUGGUCUCACUGAUUCCUCCUUCCUGAAGAACCGUAAUGCCAUUAAUUUGGUGUUGAGGGGAAACAGGACUUUUACUUUGAAAAAAUUAGAGUGUUUAAAGCAAGCUAACGCUUGAAUACAUUAGCAUGGAAUAAUGAAAUAGGACGAUCGAUCCUAUUUUGUUGGUUUCUAGGAUUGACGUA
rnacentral:rRNA from 1 species